GAGGAGGAGGAGGAGGAGAGCGCCUCGGCCUCCUUCCCGCGCUCCCCCUCGGAGAGCUCCGUGGCCGAGGGGCCGGACGAGGCCUUCGCCUACCGCGACGACACCUCGGCCUCCUCCGACUCGGCCUCCUGCGGCGACGAGGGCGGCCGCCCCGACGGGACCCCGCGCCCGGCGCUGCCCCUGCGCCGCCCCGCCGGCGGCAUCGAGCUCCACCUGGACGGCACUGCAGCCCUGGAGGAGGAGGAGGAAGAGGAGGUGGCGGCACCUCCGUUGCCUUGCAGCCCCAGGAUGCCCGCAGUGCUGGGUGAGGAAGACCUGGGCGAGGAAGAGCUCUCCAAGGAGAGCUUCAACAUCUCCCCUGCCAAGCAGGACCUGGCAUCAGCAUCCGUGGCGGCACCGGGUGAGGAAGAGCUCUCCAAGGAGAGCGGCAGCAUCUCCCCUGCCAAGCAGGACCUGGCAUCAGUGGCAGCACCGGGUGAGGAAGACCUGGGUGAGGAAGAGCUCUCUGAGGAGAGCAGCAGUGUCUCCCCCACCGAGCAAGACCUGGCAUCAGCAUCAGUGGCGGCACCGAGUGAGGAAGACCUGGGCGAGGAAGAGCUCCCCAAGGAGAGCAGCAGCAUCUCCCCUGCCAAGCGAGAGCCAGCGUUGGCAUCCCCGCUGGCAUCGCUGGUGGCACCAGGUGAGGAAGACUUGAGCGAGGAAGAGCUCUCUGAGGAGAGCAGCAGUGUCUCCCCUGCUGAGCAAGACCUGGCAUCAGUGGUGCUGGGCAAGGAAGACCUGGGUGAGGAAGAGCUCCCCAAGGACAGUGGCAGUGUCUCCCCUGCUGAGCAAGACCUGGCAUCAGCAGUGCUGGGCGAGGAAGACCUGGGUGAGGAAGAGCUCUCCAAGGAGAGCAGCAGUGUUUCCCCUGCCAAGCAAGACAUGGCAUUGGCAUCCCCGCUGGCAUCAGUGGUGGCACUGGAUGAGGAAGACCUGGGUGAGGAAGAGCUCUCUGAGGAGAGCAGCAGUGUUUCCCCUGCCAAGCAAGACAUGGCAUUGGCAUCCCCACUGGCAUCAGUGGUGGCACUGGAUGAGGAAGACCUGGGUGAGGAAGAGCUCUCUGAGGAGAGCAGCAGUGUCUCCCCCACUGAGCAAGACCUGGCAUCAGCAUCAGUGGCGGCACCGAGUGAGGAAGACCUGGGCGAGGAAGAGCUCCCCAAGGAGAGUGGCAGCAUCUCCCCUGCCAAGCAAGACCUGGCCUCAGCAUCCCCACUGGCAUCAGUGGUGGCACCAGAUGAAGACCUGGGUGAGGAAGAGCUCCCCAAGGAGAGUGACAGCGUCUCCCCUGCUGAGCAAGACCUGGCAUCCUCAGCACCGGGUGAGGAGGACCAUGGUGAGGAAGAGCUCUCUGAGGAGAGUGGCAGCAUCUCCCCCACCGAGCAAGGCCCGGCAUUGGCAGCCCUGCUGGCGUCAGCAGCCCCACCAGCAUCGGCGGCACCGGGUGAGGAAGACCUGGGCAAGGAAGAGCUCUCCAAGGAGAGCAGCAGCAUCUCCUACGCUGAGCAAGACCUGGCGUUGGUGUCCCUGCCAGCAUCGGUGACCCUGGGUGAGGAAGACCUGGGUGAGGAAGAGCUCUCUGAGGAGAGCAGCAGCAUCUCCCACACUGAGCAAGACCUGCCGUUGGCGUCCCUGCCGGCAUCUGCAUCCCCACUGGCAUCGGCGAUGCUGGGUGAGGAAGACCUGGGUGAGGAAGAUCUCUCCGAGGAGAGUGGCAGUGUCUCCCCCUGUGAGCGAGACCUGGCAUCAGCAUCCCCGCCGGCAUCGGUGGCACCAGGGGAGGAAGACCUGGGCGAGGAAGAGCUCUCCUCUGAGAGCAGCAGCGUUUCCCCUGCUGAGCAAGACCUGGCAUCAGCGACGCUGGGCGAGGAAGACCUGGGCGAGGAAGAGCUCUCUGAGGAGAGCAGCAGCAUCUCCCACACUGAGCAGGACCUGGCAUUGGCAGCCCCACCGGCAUCAGCGUCGCUGGGCGAGGAAGACCUGGGCGAGGAAGAGGCUUCUGAGGAGAGCAGCAGCAUCUCCCACACGGAGCAGGACCUGGCAUUGGCAGCCCCACCGGCAUCAGUGACACUGGGUGAGGAAGACCUGGGUGAGGAAGAGCUCUCUGAGGAGAGCAGCAGCAUCUCCCACACUGAGCCAGACCUGGCCUCGGCGUCCCUGCCGGCAUCGGCAGCGCCAGGCGAGGAAGACUUGGGUGAGGAAGAGCUCUCCAAGGAGAGCUGCUCAGCAGCAGAGACGCUGCCAGACCUGGCAUCAGCAUCCCCGCUGGCAUCGGCAGCACCAGCUGAGGAAGACCUGGGUGAGGAAGAGCCCUCUGAGGAGAGCAGCAGCAUCUCCCACACUGAGCCAGACCUGGCAUCGGCAUUGCUGCCAGCAUCAGUGGCACCAGGUGAGGAAGACCUGGGUGAGGAAGAUCUCUCCGAGGAGAGCAGCAGCGUCUCCUCCUCUGAGCGAGACUCGGCAUCGGCAUCGCUGCCGGCGGCGCCGGAGGAGGACGAGUGCCCGGAGGAAGCUGCCGCCGUCGGCACCUCGCCGAGGGAAGCGGAGCUGCACGCGCCGGGCGAUGCCGGCCUGGCCCAGGACGGCCACAUCCAGGUCCCCUCUGAAGAAGCCGCCGCAGAGCCACCGAGUGACCUGGACACUGAGUGCUUCCUCCCCUGCCCUGCUGAGGAAGAGGAGCCGGAGGCCCUGGGGAUGCCGGAGGCCACCGCGGCGGAGCUGGACCUGCAUCACCCGCCGGAGCCCUCUGUCCCCACCGAGCCACCGCGGGAAGCGGAGGGGACCGAGGCCGAUGUGACGAAUGUGCCGGGGCUCUGCACGGCGCCCGGCGACAGCCCCCCGGAGCCCCCGUGCCCGGGAGAGGCCGAAGAGCCCGGCCCGGAGGACAACGCCGCGGCCGAGCCGGAGCGAGCCGCCGGCACCCGCAGCCCCGCGGAGGAGUCCGGGAAGCUGCCGGAGCUCGGCGCCGACGGCCUCUCGGACGGGGCGGCCUCGGACAGCGGGGCGGCGGGGCGGCCGGAGGGCUCGCGGCCGGGGGAGGCCGGGGAGGAGCCGGAGGGCGGGCGGACGGCGGAUGCCGACGGCGCCCGGGAUGCAACCGCCUCGUCCGAGGAGUCGUCGCCGGAGCAGCCGGACACCUCGCGGUCCUGCCUCCGCACCGACUCCAGCUUCUUCCUCGCCCCCGAGGACAACGCCAGCGAGCCGCUGGCCCCCCGGCCCCGCUCCUCCUCAUCCUCCUCCGGCGAUGAAGAGGAGGCCGGUGCCGCCCGGCUCUGCCCGGCGCCCGAGCGGCCGCGUUUCACCGCCUCCGAGCGGGAGGUCUACGUGGGAGCGCCCGCCGCCCCGCCGGCCCCUCUCGAACUGCUCCAACCACCCGGUGCCUUUUUGGAGAGCCCCCAGCCGCCUUCGGCCUCGCGGCGGCUCCGGGAUCGGCAGCAGGUCGCCACCAUGCUGCAGGGCUCCUUCGGGGAGCUGGCGGUGGCCGGGCGGCUCCGGGGCAGGGCCGUCUCGCCGGAGAGCCACGUCCGCGUCCCCCAGCCUGGUGCUCCUCAACCCAAAGAUCUGGAUGUCCCGCUGUCCCCGGAGCGCCUGGAUGUCCCGCUGUCCCCGGAGCGCCUGGACGUCCCGCCGUCCCCGGAGCAUCCCGAUGUGGGGAGCGCCUGCCCCGCUCCUCCAUGCGUGGAGGCAUCUCCUGGCCCCAUGGUGCUGGAGGAGGAGACCCUCGUUGGGGGUCUCCCGGUGGAGAGCAGCCCCACGCCACCCUCGAGCCCCGGCGUCGAGCCUGCGGCCUCCGUGCAGGAGGACGGCGAGGAAGAGGAGGGCACGGCAGGGCUGCUGGAUGCCACCGAAGGCGGAGAGGCUCCUCCGAGCCCCGCGGAGGUGGACGUCCCGCCGGCAGCCUCCGCGGGGCCCCUGGAUGCGGCCCCCAGCCCCGCCACCCCCUCCGCCGCGGAGGAGCCGCCGGCCGCCUCGGCAGCCCCCCGGCCUCCGCUCUCCGACCUCAUCCAAGUGCCUGCGCUGUCCUCGGCGCCUCCCCGCGCGGGACCGCGGCCGGAGGAGCCGUCGCCGUCACCGUCGCCGCCGGGACGCCCGGGGACGGAAGCAGCAGCCCGGGGGCAAAGGGCCGCGGGCCAAGGAGGCGGCGUCGGCCGAGGGGCGCCGGGCGGCCCGCGGCUCCGUGCAGUCCGAGUCGAGCUCCUCCAGCGAGGCGGAGCUGCCCUACCGCUGCCCCGAGAUGGAGCACCUGCGGCAAGCCGCCGGCAUCGCCCUGCUCGAGGACAAGAAGCCCCUGGCGCAGAGGCGGUGCGAGGCCAACCAUAA
rnacentral:lncRNA from 1 species